AGUUGGUCUGAAAUAAGGCAUGCUUGUGCUCAUAACAGCAUCUCAUAGAGAGCUUAGUGAAAACCUAUCAUCAAAUAUAGGUGGAUCUGGUUUUUGUGAACAAAACAUAGCAUCAUACUAGACUUUCUGAAGAAAACAAUUCCGUUCCAGCUGAAAUUAAGACACUUCUUUACUGGCAUCAAGGAUGUGGACAUCUUUUAAAACCUGAACAAAGAACUUGCAGCCUAAGCAUUAUGGCAAAAACAGACAAAGGAAGAAAAGAAGCCUGAAGAGCAAGUCAUGGCUAGACAGCUAUGUAAUAUAAGAUGAUCAUAUAAAACUGUUAUUCAACGGAUAGAAAAUUAUCACAUGAGAGAUUUCACCAGAGGUUUUGCUCCUCUGUACAUAAACAAUAAGA